rnacentral:tRNA from 1 species
GACCGAAUGGCGUAGUGGUUAGUGACCCUGACUACUUAGCCGAAGGUCCCGGGUUCGAUUCCCGGCUGGGGCA